rnacentral:rRNA from 1 species
UACGAAGGGGGCUAGCGUUGCUCGGAAUUACUGGGCGUAAAGCGUGCGCAGGCGGCUUCGCAAGUCAGACGUGAAAUCCCCGGGCUCAACCUGGGAAUGGCGAUGGAGACUGCAAGGCUAGAGUUUGGCAGAGGGGGGUAGAAUUCCACGUGUAGCAGUGAAAUGCGUAGAUAUGUGGAGGAACACCGAUGGCGAAGGCAGCCCCCUGGGUCAAAACUGACGCUCAUGCACGAAAGCGUGGGGAGCAAACAGG